rnacentral:rRNA from 1 species
UGAUGAAGGUUUUCGGAUCGUAAAACUCUGUGUUAGGGAAGAACAAGUACCGUUCGAAUAGGGCGGUACCUUGACGGUACCUAACCAGAAAGCCACGGCUAACUACGUGCCAGCAGCCGCGGUAAUACGUAGGUGGCAAGCGUUGUCCGGAAUUAUUGGGCGUAAAGCGCGCGCAGGUGGUUUCUUAAGUCUGAUGUGAAAGCCCACGGCUCAACCGUGGAGGGUCAUUGGAAACUGGGGAACUUGAGUGCAGAAGAGGAAAGUGGAAUUCCAAGUGUAGCGGUGAAAUGCGUAGAUAUUUGGAGGAACACCAGUGGCGAAGGCGACUUUCUGGUCUGUAACUGACACUGAGGCGCGAAAGCGUGGGGAGCAAACAGGAUUAGAUACCCUGGUAGUCCACGCCGUAAACGAUGAGUGCUAAGUGUUAGAGGGUUUCCGCCCUUUAGUGCUGCAGCUAACGCAUUAAGCACUCCGCCUGGGGAGUACGGUCGCAAGACUG